AGCGGACGCUGGCGGCAGGCCUAACACAUGCAAGUCGAACGAAGUCUUCGGACUUAGUGGCGGACGGGUGAGUAACACGUGGGAACGUGCCUUUAGGUUCGGAAUAACUCAGGGAAACUUGUGCUAAUACCGAAUGUGCCCUUCGGGGGAAAGAUUUAUCGCCUUUAGAGCGGCCCGCGUCUGAUUAGCUAGUUGGUGAGGUAAAGGCUCACCAAGGCUACGAUCAGUAGCUGGUCGGAGAGGAUGACCAGCCACAUUGGGACUGAGACACGGCCCAAACUCCGACGGGAGGCAGCAGUGGGGAAUCUUGCGCAAUGGGCGAAAGCCUGACGCAGCCAUGCCGCGUGGAUGAUGAAGGUCUUAGGAUUGUAAAAUCCUUUCACCGGUGAAGAUAAUGACUGUAGCCGGAGAAGAAGCCCCGGCUAACUUCGUGCCAGCCGCCGCAGUAAUAC
rnacentral:rRNA from 1 species